UCCCUGAUAGCUCUGUUGGUAAAGAAUCUGCCUGCAAUGCAGGACACCCCAGGUUCAAUUCCUGGGUCGGGAA
rfam:TPA: Bos taurus chromosome 1, whole genome shotgun sequence.